rnacentral:rRNA from 1 species
UACGUAGGUGGCGAGCGUUGUCCGGAUUUACUGGGCGUAAAGCGCGCGCAGGCGGCUGGUCAAGUCCGAUGUGAAAGCUCCCGGCUCAACUGGGAAAAUGCAUCGGAAACUGACCGGCUUGAAGGUGGGAGAGGGUAGUGGAAGUUCCCGGUGUAGUGGUGAAAUGCGUAGAUAUCGGGAGGAACACCAGUGGCGAAGGCGACUACCUGGCCCACUCUUGACGCUGAGGCGCGAAAGCUAGGGGAGCGAACGGG